rnacentral:tRNA from 1 species
GCCUUCGUAGCUCAGUGGUAGAGCACUUCCUUGGUAAGGAAGAGGUCGGCAGUUCAAUCCUGCUCGAAGGCU